GGGAACUGAAACAUCUAAGUACCCCGAGGAAGAGAAAUCAACCGAGAUUCCGAAAGUAGCGGCGAGCGAAAUUGGAUUAGCCCUUAAGCUUUUAAUGAUGCAGGUGAAGAGUCUGGAAAGUCUCGCAAUAAAGGGUGAUAGCCCCGUAACCGACACAUCAUAAUCAGUGAAAACGAGUAGGGCGGGACACGUGAUAUCCUGUCUGAA
rnacentral:rRNA from 1 species